rnacentral:tRNA from 1 species
AUAGAGAUAAGCUAAUAAUAAGCUACUGGGCCCAUACCCCAUCUAUAGGAUUUUGACCUUCUCUUUAUU